GAAGCCAACCAGACAGUCGCUGCCUGUGCAAACAGGGAGAGGAAAGUCCGGGCUGCACAGAGCGGGAUGACGGCUAACGGCCGUACGCUGAAAGCUGGUAACAGUAUAAGGCGAGGAACAGGGCCACAGAGACGAGUAAACUGUUUUCGGACAGUGGAUGUGAAACGCGGUAACCUCCAUCUGCAGCAAUAUCAAAUAGGCUGGCAUUUUACGCAAGUAAUAAGGCGUGGCUCGCGCUGCCAGCGGGUAGAUAGCUUGAGCGUGUGAGUAAUUGCACGCCUAGAGGAAUGACUGUCAGCUACGCAAGUAGUUACAGAACCCGGCUUACCGGUUGGCUUUAUUU
rnacentral:RNase_P_RNA from 1 species